CCUGUAAAGAGAGCCCUAAUUAGGCUUUCUUUAUUGCAAGUUCUGUUUAAUUAAGAUUUUCUUAUCCCCUGCUAUGUUAAUAGCUUGCUAGACCCUGCAAGAGCCUCCUGUAUGUGAUUAAAGUUCAAUUUAGAGAUUGAGAUACAAUUAUUUAAGGUAAAUUACAUCUGUUUGAAAGUGAAACCAGUUUUUUUUUUUCUUUCAUGCAGGCUCUGUCAAUCAAAGCCAGGGGAGGUGUGGCUAGGGCUGCAUAAACAGAAACAGUGAUUUAACUCCUAAAUGACAGUGAAUUGAGCAGUGAAAU
rnacentral:lncRNA from 1 species